rnacentral:lncRNA from 1 species
CGUGUCCUGCCCCCGCUAGGUGAAGCGUAACCUGCUGAACUUCUCCUACCGCAUCGCGCAGUACAUGGAGGUCAUCUCCGACCUGCCCAGGGAGAUCGAGCACCUUAAAUCAAAAAUUGGGAGGCGAGAAAAGGAGAAGAAAAGUGAAGCCAGCAUCCAGGACGCCCGAGUCCCAAUGCUGUCCCAUGACACAGAGGAGGACAGCCACGUACAGAUGAACAAGAUCUGGGCACAGCUCAUCGGGGCCUUCAAGGAGCAGAUGGAGAUGCGACGCAGCCUGGUGGAGCUGAAGAACACCAACAUUGAGCUGCACACGGACGUGUCCCGCCACCUGCUGUCCAUUGCAGAGCUGGGCUGGAGCACGCGAAGAGGAAGACGUCACAGAUGGAGAGGCUGCUGCCCAGGCGGGUCACCAGCGAGGACCAGCAGGAGGUGCUGCGGCUGCUGUGCAGGGCGCACGAGCUGGAGGUGGAGAACACGGAGCUGCAGGCCUACAACCUGUGCCGCAAGAACCGGCUGUGCCAGAAGGACUUUGUGA